rnacentral:miRNA from 1 species
CAUAGGCGCUAUUUCCUCUGCC